AGGAUGCUUUUGGCGCGGUGCCUUCUGAGUUCCCUGGAACGGGACGCCGGAGAGGGUGAGAGCCCCGUACAGUUGGACACCAAGCCUUUGUAAAGCUCCUUCGACGAGUCGAGUAGUUUGGGAAUGCUGCUCAAAAUGGGAGGUAAAUGCCUUCUAAAGCUAAAUACCGGCCAGAGACCGAUAGCGCACAAGUAGAGUGAUCGAAAGAUGAAAAGCACUUUGAAAAGAGGGUUAAACAGUACGUGAAAUUGUUGAAAGGGAAGCGCUCGUGACCAGACUUGCGCCCGGCGGAUCAUCCGGCCUUCUGGCCGGUGCACUCCGCCGGGCUCAGGCCAGCAUCGGUUUUCCUGGGGGGAUAAAAGUGGCGGGAACGUAGCUCCUCCGGGAGUGUUAUAGCCCGCCGCAGCAUACCCCCGGGGGGACCGAGGACCGCGCUUCGGCAAGGAUGCUGGCGUAAUGGUCACCAGCGACCCGUCUUGAAACACGGACCAAGGAGUCAAGCAUUAGGGCGAGUGUUUGGGUGUCAAACCCGCACGCGAAAUGAAAGUGAACGCAGGUGAGAGCUUCGGCGCAUCAUCGACCGAUCCUGAUGUUUUCGGAUGGAUUUGAGUAAGAGCCUUGCCGCUUGGA
rnacentral:rRNA from 1 species